AGCGAACGCUGGCGGCAGGCCUAACACAUGCAAGUCGAACGGAACCUUCGGGAUUAGUGGCGGACGGGUGAGUAACACGUGGGAACGUGCCCUUUGGUUCGGAACAACUCAGGGAAACUUGAGCUAAUACCGGAUGUGCCCUUCGGGGGAAAGAUUUAUCGCCAUUGGCGCGGCCCGCGUCUGAUUAGCUAGUUGGUGAGGUAACGGCCCACCAAGGCGACGAUCAGUAGCUGGUCUGUGAGGAUGAUCAGCCACACUGGGACUGAGACACGGCCCAGACUCCUACGGGAGGCAGCAGUGGGGAAUCUUGCGCAAUGGGCGAAAGCCUGACGCAGCCAUGCCGCGUGAAUGAUGAAGGUCUUAGGAUUGUAAAAUUCUUUCAGCGGGGACGAUAAUGACGGUACCCGCAGAAGAAGCUCCGGCUAACUUCGUG
rnacentral:rRNA from 1 species